rnacentral:rRNA from 1 species
AGUGAACGCUGGCGGUAGGCCUAACACAUGCAAGUCGAACGGCAGCACAGUAAGAGCUUGCUCUUACGGGUGGCGAGUGGCGGACGGGUGAGGAAUACAUCGGAAUCUACUUUUUCGUGGGGGAUAACGUAGGGAAACUUACGCUAAUACAGCAUACGACCUACGGGUGAAAGCAGGGGAUCUUCGGACCUUGCGCGAUUGAAUGAGCCGAUGUCGGAUUAGCUAGUUGGCGGGGUAAAGGCCCACCAAGGCGACGAUCCGUAGCUGGACUGAGAGGAUGGUCAGCCACACUGGAACUGAGACACGGACCAGACUCCUACGGGAGGCAGCAGUGGGGAAUAGUGGACAAUGGGCGCAAGCCUGAUCCAGCCAUACCGCGUGGGUGAAGAAGGCCUUCGGGUUGUAAAGCCCUUUUGUGGGGAAAGAAAAGCAGCAGGUUAAUACCCCGCGGUUCUGACGGUACCCAAAGAAGAAGCACCGGCUAACUUCGUG